UACAGAGGUCCCGAGCGUUGUUCGGAUUCACUGGGCGUAAAGGGUGCGUAGGUGGCGAGGUAAGUCGGAUGUGAAAGCUCGGAGCUCAACUCCGAAAUGGCAUUGGAAACUACCUUGCUCGAGGAUUGGAGGGGGAACUGGAAUACUUGGUGUAGCAGUGAAAUGCGUAGAUAUCAAGUGGAACACCAGUGGCGAAGGCGAGUCCCUGGACAACUCCUGACACUGAGGCACGAAAGCUAGGGGAGCAAACAGG
rnacentral:rRNA from 1 species